CAGCAGACACAUUCCAGCCAAUCAGCAGCAGACCCUCCCUCCCACCUCCUGGACAGCUCACUAAGUAUGCAGCUUCAAAAUGGAUGCUAUCCAGGAGUUGGGAGGGUCUGGGAGGGAGGGUCUGCUGCUGAUUGGCUGGAAUGUGUCUGCUG